rnacentral:rRNA from 1 species
GACGAACGCUGUCGGCGUGCUUAACACAUGCAAGUCGAACGGAAAGGCCCUGCUUUUGUGGGGUGCUCGAGUGGCGAACGGGUGAGUAACACGUGAGUAACCUGCCCUUGACUUUGGGAUAACUUCAGGAAACUGGGGCUAAUACCGGAUAGGAGCUCCUGCUGCAUGGUGGGGGUUGGAAAGUUUCGGCGGUUGGGGAUGGACUCGCGGCUUAUCAGCUUGUUGGUGGGGUAGUGGCUUACCAAGGCUUUGACGGGUAGCCGGCCUGAGAGGGUGACCGGCCACAUUGGGACUGAGAUACGGCCCAGACUCCUACGGGAGGCAGCAGUGGGGAAUAUUGCACAAUGGGCGGAAGCCUGAUGCAGCAACGCCGCGUGCGGGAUGACGGCCUUCGGGUUGUAAACCGCUUUCGCCUGUGACGAAGCGUGAGUGACGGUAAUGGGUAAAGAAGCACCGGCUAACUACGUGCCAGCAGCCGCGGUGAUACGUAGGGUGCGAGCGUUGUCCGGAUUUAUUGGGCGUAAAGGGCUCGUAGGUGGUUGAUCGCGUCGGAAGUGUAAUCUUGGGGCUUAACCCUGAGCGUGCUUUCGAUACGGGUUGACUUGAGGAAGGUAGGGGAGAAUGGAAUUCCUGGUGGAGCGGUGGAAUGCGCAAAUAUCAGGAGGAACACCAGUGGCGAAGGCGGUUCUCUGGGCCUUUCCUGACGCUGAGGAGCGAAAGCGUGGGGAGCGAACAGGCUUAGAUACCCUGGUAGUCCACGCUGUAAACGGUGGGUACUAGGUGUGGGGUCCAUUCCACGGGUUCCGUGCCGUAGCUAACGCUUUAAGCACCCCGCCUGGGGAGUACGGCCGCAAGGCUAAAACUCAAAGGAAUUGACGGGGCCCCGCACAAGCGGCGGAGCAUGCGGAUUAAUUCGAUGCAACGCGUAGAACCUUACCUGGGUUUGACAUGGAUCGGGAGUGCUCAGAGAUGGGUGUGCCUCUUUUGGGGUCGGUUCACAGGUGGUGCAUGGCUGUCGUCAGCUCGUGUCGUGAGAUGUUGGGUUAAGUCCCGCAACGAGCGCAACCCUUGUUCACUGUUGCCAGCACGUUAUGGUGGGGACUCAGUGGAGACCGCCGGGGUCAACUCGGAGGAAGGUGGGGAUGACGUCAAGUCAUCAUGCCCCUUAUGUCCAGGGCUUCACGCAUGCUACAAUGGCUGGUACAGAGAGUGGCGAGCCUGUGAGGGUGAGCGAAUCUCGGAAAGCCGGUCUCAGUUCGGAUUGGGGUCUGCAACUCGACCUCAUGAAGUCGGAGUCGCUAGUAAUCGCAGAUCAGCAACGCUGCGGUGAAUACGUUCCCGGG